rnacentral:lncRNA from 1 species
UUCUCUGAAUGGCUUACAAAGAGCAUGGAGCCAAAAAGACGACAGUUCUGUCCCCAAAUUGUGGGAUUAAAUGGCAUGGAAGAGAAAAACGGAAAAGACUUCCACGAACUGAACCAGUGUUCUCAAGGGCCUGCAGCGUCGAGGUGAUUGGAAGGCCCCUUCUUACCGUGUCGGGGUGCCAAGUGACGCCUUGUAAGUAAUAAAUCUCUGAUUUUGAUUUUAAAGUCCUACCGGGCAGGAUAAUUCUUUUUGUAUGGUUCCUAGAGCGGC